UAACACAUGCAAGUCGAGGGGCAGCAUGGUCUUUGCUUGCUAAGGCCGAUGGCGACCGGCGCACGGGUGAGUAACACGUAUCCAACCUGCCGUCUACUCUUGGACAGCCUUCUGAAAGGAAGAUUAAUACAAGAUGGCAUCAUGAGUCCGCAUGUUCACAUGAUUAAAGGUAUUCCGGUAGACGAUGGGGAUGCGUUCCAUUAGAUAGUAGGCGGGGUAACGGCCCACCUAGUCUUCGAUGGAUAGGGGUUCUGAGAGGAAGGUCCCCCACAUUGGAACUGAGACACGGUCCAAACUCCUACGGGAGGCAGCAGUGAGGAAUAUUGGUCAAUGGGCGAGAGCCUGAACCAGCCAAGUAGCGUGAAGGAUGACUGCCCUAUGGGUUGUAAACUUCUUUUAUAAAGGAAUAAAGUCGGGUAUGGAUACCCGUUUGCAUGUACUUUAUGAAUAAGGAUCGGCUAACUCCGUGCCAGCAGCCGCGGUAAUACGGAGGAUCCGAGCGUUAUCCGGAUUUAUUGGGUUUAAAGGGAGCGUAGAUGGAUGUUUAAGUCAGUUGUGAAGGUUUGCGGCUCAACCGUAAAAUUGCAGUUGAUACUGGAUAUCUUGAGUGCAGUUGAGGCAGGCGGAACUCGUGGUGUAGCGGUGAAAUGCUUAGAUAUCACGAAGAACUCCGAUUGCGAAGGCAGCCUGCUAAGCUGCAACUGACAUUGAGGCUCGAAAGUGUGGGUAUCAAACAGGAUUAGAUACCCUGGUAGUCCACACGGUAAACGAUGAAUACUCGCUGUUUGCGAUAUACAGCAAGCGGCCAAGCGAAAGCGUUAAGUAUUCCACCUGGGGAGUACGCCGGCAACGGUGAAACUCAAAGGAAUUGACGGGGGCCCGCACAAGCGGAGGAACAUGUGGUUUAAUUCGAUGAUACGCGAGGAACCUUACCCGGGCUUAAAUUGCAGAUGAAUUACGGUGAAAGCCGUAAGCCGCAAGGCAUCUGUGAAGGUGCUGCAUGGUUGUCGUCAGCUCGUGCCGUGAGGUGUCGGCUUAAGUGCCAUAACGAGCGCAACCCUUGUUGUCAGUUACUAACAGGUUCCGCUGAGGACUCUGACAAGACUGCCAUCGUAAGAUGUGAGGAAGGUGGGGAUGACGUCAAAUCAGCACGGCCCUUACGUCCGGGGCUACACACGUGUUACAAUGGGGGGUACAGAGGGCCGCUACCACGCGAGUGGAUGCCAAUCCCAAAAACCUCUCUCAGUUCGGACUGGAGUCUGCAACCCGACUCCACGAAGCUGGAUUCGCUAGUAAUCGCGCAUCAGCCACGGCGCGGUGAAUACGUUCCCGGGCCUUGUACACACCGCCCGUCAAGCCAUGGGAGCCGGGGGUACCUGAAGUGCGUAACCGCGAGGAGCGCCCUAGGGUAAAACUGGUGACUGGGGCU
rnacentral:rRNA from 1 species